GGGGCGGUAGCUCAGUUGGCAGAGCGCAGCGUUCGCAAUGCUGAGGCCGAGGGUUCGACUCCCUUCCGCUCCA
rnacentral:tRNA from 1 species